GGUGCCCUCCCACAGCUGCUGCUCAUCAGGAACAAUAAGGAGGAGCUUAAACUGCAGCAGAGGCAGAUGCCAGAUUGUUUUGCUCUCGUGCAUGGAAGCAAAUCCGUGUUCAUCCUCGGCUCACUCAUUUCAGUGCACUGCUUCCCGCUGUUUGUCGGAGGAAUACUCCCCAAAUUCCUCUGCGUGAUUUUCUGGUUGUCCUGCUGAUUUCAGCUGUUUGGAUCACUCCAGCAACUUACCGAUCAUCACUCACUUCCCAUUCCCUCUGGAAGAAAACAAAGGAAAGCUUUACUAAAACACAGUUCACUUCAACCUGCUGAUCUUUGUAGAUAUUCAUCUCCUCCUCAGAGACAAUCCAUCAACUACAAUAUCUCAUUUUAAUUCUUUAUUUUCUUUGUCAAACAAUAAAUACUUACUUCUCCUCCUUGGCGACAAACCGGAAUCCUUCCAAAAUCCCAGAAGAACCGCCAACUUGUACACUGUUGUCAUUAAACCUUUCAAAACUUUAUGUUGUGUCCAUAAUUGUUGCUGGAGCUGAAGGAAAUAUUCAAACAAAUAUGACAUUUUCAUUUCAUUGUCCUUGACAAAUUAUUCGUUACUGGAAUAUUUGAAAUGGUAAUCUUUAAAGGGCAUCAAAUUGAGUGAAAUUCUAAGAAUUGUAUGUGCAUUAGGACCAUUGGAUAUUCGCCACCUUUAAGACCCA